rnacentral:lncRNA from 1 species
UCUUUAGCUGAGUAAUGUAGCACACCAUGUCCAACUCUUUGAAACGUGGCGGUUAGGUUUGAUGCUUCGGUGUCAGAAUUCAUUCUUAUUUUACUUGUGAUGCACAAGAAACCCAUAAAAACAUAAUGACAGUCAUAUAUUCACCAAGGCUUCAGUGGUAUAAACCAGUCUCUGCAAGAAGUUUCCUAUCAGUUGCUAUUGAUCUUUGGGAUUCCUUCCAGAUGGAGUGUGAGUGUGAGAAUCCUCUCCCACGUUAAAGUAUUUCAGAGAGUCAUUACGCAUGGCUCAGCCAAAGCUUCUGUGUGAAAAGCGUCCACAGGAAGAAGCACUACAGCCAGCGGUACAUGAUGGUUCAAAGGUUAGGAAACAGACAGAAAGAGAAAGGGUCAACCAAGCAGUACUGACACAUGGAGAGGAAACCGCUGACGGCAGAUUAAAUGAAAAUGCUGAUGUUUCCUUUCUUCUUUGCUGCGUUUGGAUUUUCCGAUGUUUUGCAACUUGGUGCGUUCUCUGCUCCAGUGUGGAAGGAAUCCAGUACGGCCACAAUUCAACUUAUCACUCAGACUCCACAUCCUCCCCCUCCUCCUCUUCUUCAUGUGGAUAAUGGCUCCUGUUUCGUCCUCAUUACAUCCUCACUAAAACACCCAGGAGCCUCUCAUGUUCCGACCCCCAAACCACAGGCUGGUGCUCAGCUUUCCUCCCUUAAAAUUCCCUCUUCUUCAACAUUCAAUCACAUCCCCGAUUUAGGAAAAAAACUUCCCCGUCACCACAGAAUAAAAGAAAAGGAUGUUUUGUCCCUUAAAGACAGACAAACGCCAAACAAAGGAAACAUCGGAAAUAGUAGAUUUACCUUUAGUGAGCUCAAAGCAACGCCUAAACCAAAAUCAACUAUAACUCAGACAAUAGAGGUCCAAAAAAAUCCAAAUCCUUCACCAAAAUACCAGCAAAUCAAAUUUACAGAAAAACAAGCCAAACAUGCUCACAAAUCAAAUGUUCCCCCAAUUAGAAAUGAGCCCAUAUCUACAUUAAAGCAAGAUAAGGCGUCGUCACCUCACCUGCACCAUACAGCCACGAAAACAUCUUCAAAAAAACAACACGGAGGAAAAAUGAGGAAGAAAAAAAAGAAGAAGAAGCAGAACUACAGGAAACUCCAACCACCUCAACCUGCUUCAUUAACUGAUAACCACUGUCCCUCUGAGUGUGUUUGCUUUGGAAGGUAACGUAGCGCCAAGUCAAGUGAUCACAAUAAACCCUGUCUGUGUUCAAAAUAGCA